rnacentral:rRNA from 1 species
AUUGAACGCUGGCGGCAUGCCUUACACAUGCAAGUCGAACGGUAACAGGUCUUCGGAUGCUGACGAGUGGCGAACGGGUGAGUAAUACAUCGGAACGUGCCUAGUAGUGGGGGAUAACUACUCGAAAGAGUGGCUAAUACCGCAUGAGAUCUACGGAUGAAAGCAGGGGAUCGCAAGACCUUGUGCUACUAGAGCGGCCGAUGGCAGAUUAGGUAGUUGGUGGGAUAAAAGCUUACCAAGCCGACGAUCUGUAGCUGGUCUGAGAGGACGAUCGGCAACACUGGGACUGGGACACGGCCCAGACUCCUACGGGAGGCAGCAGUGGGGAAUUUUGGACAAUGGGCGAAAGCCUGAUCCAGCAAUGCCGCGUGCAGGAUGAAGGCCUUCGGGUUGUAAACUGCUUUUGUACGGAACGAAAAGCCCCGGGUUAAUACCCUGGGGUCAUGACGGUACCGUAAGAAUAAGCACCGGCUAACUACGUGCCAGCAGCAGCCGCCG